rnacentral:rRNA from 1 species
GACAGCAGCCUUAACAACUUCUUGCUAGAUCUUGUUAGAUGUCAGAAGCUAAGCAAGGCUGGGCUUGUCAGUACUAGGAUGGGAGAUCUUUUGGCAAAACCGAGUGGCUGCUUUAC